AGAGUUUGAUCCUGGCUCAGGAUGAACGCUGGCGGCGUGCUUAACACAUGCAAGUCGAACGAACCUUCGGGUUAGUGGCGGACGGGUGAGUAACGCGUGAGAAUCUGCCCUCAGGAGGGGGACAACAGCUGGAAACGGCUGCUAAUACCCCAUAUGCCGCGAGGUGAAAUGAAUUUCGCCUGAGGAUGAGCUCGCGUCUGAUUAGCUAGUUGGUGUAGGUAAUGGCUCACCAAGGCAUCGAUCAGUAGCUGGUCUGAGAGGAUGAUCAGCCACACUGGGACUGAGACACGGCCCAGACUCCUACGGGAGGCAGCAGUGGGGAAUUUUCCGCAAUGGGCGAAAGCCUGACGGAGCAACGCCGCGUGAGGGAUGAAGGCCUCUGGGCUGUAAACCUCUUUUAUCAAGGAAGAAGAUCUGACGGUACUUGAUGAAUAAGCCACGGCUAAUUCCGUGCCAGCAGCCGCGGUAAUACGGGAGUGGCAAGCGUUAUCCGGAAUUAUUGGGCGUAAAGCGUCCGCAGGCGGCCCUUCAAGUCUGCUGUUAAAAAGUGGAGCUUAACUCCAUCAUGGCAGUGGAAACUGUUGGGCUUGAGUGUGGUAGGGGCAGAGGGAAUUCCCGGUGUAGCGGUGAAAUGCGUAGAUAUCGGGAAGAACACCAGUGGCGAAGGCGCUCUGCUGGGCCAUCACUGACGCUCAUGGACGAAAGCCAGGGGAGCGAAAGGGAUUAGAUACCCCUGUAGUCCUGGCCGUAAACGAUGAACACUAGGUGUCGGGGGAAUCGACCCCCUCGGUGUCGUAGCCAACGCGUUAAGUGUUCCGCCUGGGGAGUACGCACGCAAGUGUGAAACUCAAAGGAAUUGACGGGGGCCCGCACAAGCGGUGGAGUAUGUGGUUUAAUUCGAUGCAACGCGAAGAACCUUACCAGGGUUUGACAUCCUGCGAAUCUCUUGGAAACGAGAGAGUGCCUUCGGGAACGCAGUGACAGGUGGUGCAUGGCUGUCGUCAGCUCGUGUCGUGAGAUGUUGGGUUAAGUCCCGCAACGAGCGCAACCCACGUCUUUAGUUGCCAGCAUUUAGUUGGGCACUCUAGAGAGACCGCCGGUGAUAAACCGGAGGAAGGUGUGGAUGACGUCAAGUCAUCAUGCCCCUUACAUCCUGGGCUACACACGUACUACAAUGCUACGGACAAAGGGCAGCAAGUUCGCGAGGACAAGCAAAUCCCAUAAACCGUGGCUCAGUUCAGAUCGUAGGCUGCAACUCGCCUACGUGAAGGAGGAAUCGCUAGUAAUCGCAGGUCAGCAUACUGCGGUGAAUACGUUCCCGGGCCUUGUACACACCGCCCGUCACACCAUGGAAGUUGGCCACGCCCGAAGCCGUUACUCCAACCCUUGUGGAGGAGGACGUCGAAGGUGGGGCUGAUGACUGGGGUGAAGUCGUAACAAGGUAACC
rnacentral:rRNA from 1 species